rnacentral:rRNA from 1 species
AGAGUUUGAUCAUGGCUCAGAAUCAACGCUGGCGGCGUGCCUAAUACAUGCAAGUCGAACGCGAAAGUCCCGCAAGGGAUAAGUAGAGUGGCAAACGGGUGAGUAACACGUGGGUGACCUGCCUUCGAGUGGGGGAUAACGUUCCGAAAGGGACGCUAAUACCGCAUGACAUCCUGCCUUUGAACAGGCGGAAAUUAAAGCCGGGGAUCGCAAGACCUGGCGCUUGAAGAGGGGCCCGCGUCCGAUUAGCUAGUUGGUGGGGUAACGGCUCACCAAGGCAACGAUCGGUAGCCGGCCUGAGAGGGCGGACGGCCACACUGGGACUGAGACACGGCCCAGACUCCUACGGGAGGCAGCAGUAGGGAAUUGUUCGCAAUGGGCGCAAGCCUGACGACGCAACGCCGCGUGGAGGAUGAAGAUCUUCGGGUCGUAAACUCCUUUCGAUCGAGACGAAUGGCCCUGAGGUAAAUAGCCUCGGGGAAUGACGGUACCGAGAGAAGAAGCCCCGGCUAACUCCGUGCCAGCAGCCGAGGUAAUACGGGGGGGGCAAGCGUUGUUCGGAAUUACUGGGCGUAAAGGGCUCGUAGGCGGCCAACUAAGUCAGACGUGAAAUCCCUCGGCUUAACCGGGGAACUGCGUCUGAUACUGGAUGGCUGGAGUUUGGGAGAGGGAUGCGGAAUUCCAGGUGUAGCGGUGAAAUGCGUAGAUAUCUGGAGGAACACCGGUGGCGAAGGCGGCAUCCUGGACCAACACUGACGCUGAGGAGCGAAAGCCAGGGGAGCAAACGGGAUUAGAUACCCUAGUAGUCC